rnacentral:tRNA from 1 species
GGAGGCGUGUCCGAGCGGUUUAUGGAGACAGUCUUGAAAACUGUUGGGGAUGCAAGUCUCUCGCAGGUUCGAAUCCUGCCGCCUCCG